rnacentral:sRNA from 1 species
AAAAACAGCAAAAAAAUAAAAUAAAAA